rnacentral:rRNA from 1 species
UCUUAUGGCCCCUUGGAUGUACCACUGGCCUUCAUGAAUAAAACAUUCUUUCUCAUCUGAUCUCAGAAGCUAAGCAGGGGCGGGCCUGGUUAGUACAUGGAUGGGAGACCACCUAGGAAGACCAGGUGCUGUAGGCA